GAGGGGUGGUUAGGGCCACUGGACAAGCACUAUGUUUCCUCUCUAAAUAUUUGUAAUGCACAACAUCAGAAAAGUGAAUAAAAGCAAGCUUGCCUUCUGAUGAGAAAGGAAUAAGCCUAACAAAGUGACAGCUUUAUCUUUUUGCCUGGAUAAUUAGAGGAACUGCGUGCUCAGUUUUUCUAUUUACUGCGUCAGAGCCUUUUCUGCAGUUACAAUUUAUUUGACUUCCUGCUCUAUCUACAUUUCCUUUCCAUUCCAAGAAUAUAUAAUGCCGAAGUAUC
rnacentral:misc_RNA from 1 species